rnacentral:lncRNA from 1 species
ACUCGUGUGUGAGAACGGAGAGAAGCAGGUGCUGACAGGUGCAGAGCCUGCUCCUGCCCCCUGGGCUAGGUACAGUCACUGCCACUGUGGCUCCCGGACAGGGAGGGACAUGAAAGAUGUUCCUUGUUUUGCGAACUUACCCUGGGAUCCACUUUUGUAUUUUAAUUACUUGGUUUUAAAGUUUGCCUAUAUGUUACAAUAGACAGGAAAAGGAAAUUGGGCCUUGCUGAGCUAUUUUCAUUGGGGCAGGAAGAGGUGGGGGGAAGUGAGAAGACUGUUCGUUCUGGCCGAGUGUUAAUGUUUUCUGUGGGGGCCCAGGCGGGGCAGGAAAGGACUGGCCACCCAGCAGGGUUCCUGGGAUGGAAGGCUGCCUGGAGGGAGGACAGUGUGAGGCUCCAGUCCCCGUCACCUGCCGUUUUCCUCUCCUCCUGCACCUACGCAGCUGUUGAGGUUUGCUACUAGCUGGUGCCAUCAGCCCAGCAGACACCAGCCCAAGAGCCUCGGGGUCCCACAGAUACCAUCACUAAACGCAUCCGCUCCCCAAAUCUGCUGCUGCCCCCACAUGAGGAGUGCCAGCGCCUGUCUGGAAACCCAUUCUUGGUGCUUCUCUUUCCCUUGUGCUGUGGAUCCAAUCCUCCACAGCCUCCUGUGGGCUCACUUCCUGGCCGUGUUGUGACUCCAUCUGUAGUCACGCUAACCUGGGCUCCACUCCCAGUUUACAGCAGUGUGACCUUGGGCACAUCAGUUUACUGUGGGCCUUGGUUUUCUCACCCAUCAGAUGGGACAUGCGUACUGACCUCACGGGCUUGCUGUGAGGACUAGAUGAGAGAAUGCGAGCGUUGGUGAGUAUCUGACUCCUAGAAUAGCCUGUGCUCAGGCUCCUCCAGGCCAUCUCGCCUCUCCCCUGGGAGUCCUCUUCAUCUCCUGCCCACAGAUGAGCUCCUCCCUCCAGUGCCCUCCCUCCAGUGAGGCUAGGGCGCUCCUGCCUUGGGCCUCGGCUGCCUCCACUCUCAGGGUCCCCUGGCUCCCUGGGGUAGGGAAGGCAUGUCGUCCUCCGGACCCUGUGGGCCUCCCCAGCCGUGUCUCCCAGUGGCCUCCCCUCACGAGGCAUCUCUGGCCGGGGGAGGCCCAGUGUGCUCCUAAGUGCUCCCUGCAGCCUGAACUACUGCUCCACGCACACGUCACAUGGCAGAAACCGCUAGGUCCUGGAGCUCCUCCAUGGGACAAAGCUCCUCCUGGGCAGGGGCCGUGACUUCUUCACUGUUGCAGUCCAGAGCCCAGCACAACACCUGACCCAUAGGAGGACCUGUUCAGCGGACAAGGCCGACCAACUGUAGAGUGUGGCCGUGAGGUUGAGAGAGGCCACUCACAAGUGUCCAGGGUCAGCCUCAGGCCAGCCCAGGACAUGAAACCCUUUAAUGGCAUGUAGAGUCAACAGGUAUAAAUGGCUUAUUUCCAUCAAUGCCUUGGUGUGCUAAUCCACCUCAGGCUCUAGUAACAGUCUCUGGUGCUUGACCCCAGGGGAACAGUGAGAACAGGAGAGUCUUGGAUCUCUCUCUCAUAUCCAAACUGAAUUUGGGAUCUUUACUCCCUGGGGGUGGGUACUGGAGCCUGGGACAUGAGUCAAGGUGUUUUUUUUCACCUCUAAUGGUGGCACUAUGUGUCUAAGUGUGGCAGGAUAAAUAUAAGGCAAUAUUAAUAUUGCCUUUAAAGUGAAGAACCCAAAAUAAAAUGAGCUGUUUGUUCAUUUAUAUAAUUUGGUAGAUCUCAUACCUAUUCCUCAAUGUUUAUGGGGCAGGACUCCGGAGCUGCGGCUGUUCAGUAGGAAAGACCAAAAGCAAAUGGUAAACAAGAGAGAAGACACACAUGCAUGCACAAAUAAAAACAGCAGCACCACCACCACCACCGCCGCCGCCACCACCAGCAAGCCAUGGAAUGCUGGGCCGGAGAGGCUGCCCAGAGAGCUGUCCUGACUCUGAAUUCACAGAAGUCCUUGCUACAAACUCCAACCUUCUAUUCUAUAGAAGCCUUAGCCAGGGCAGAACAUCGGUUACUUGUGGAAGACUCAAGAAUCAGAUCUGAAGUCUGCUCUCCUGGCCUCUUGGUAUGCUCUGUGGUGAGGGAGAUCCGGCAGCAAGCGGGGGGCACCUUCCCCUGGCAAGGACCCUGAGGGGCCCACGGCAAAGCCCUGCUGCUGCUCCCUCCUCAGCCUCAUUCUCACAGUAAGCCUGUCUGCGGAAAGUCAGUGUGGGUGCUGAGGGGCCUUCCAGAGCAGGUGCCGCCAUUUUGUCUGGCUGAAUCCAGGCCCCUCCAGCCAAAAAAUGGAGCACAGAGAUUCAAAAUCCUUAGAGGGAAAUGGAUAAAGGUGCUUUCCGUUCAUGUCUCAGUUUUUGGGAUAUCAAAAAUGGGAGUAUGAAGAGACCUCUAGAGGUAGAUUUUGGGAGUACAUUCAGGAAAAUUUCACAAGCCCCUUUCCUGCCUCUACAAAGCCACUUAUUAAAUAUAAGGACUGUAAUAGUUCAACUGUCUUUGUAGAGUUGCUCUCCAGGGGAAGGAGAAACUUAGUUUGAAAUUUUCCUUAGUGCCCACAAAGUGCAAGUAGCAUCUUAGUCUUGAGUUUUGAGGCCUCUCAAAAAGAGGAGAGAAUUCAAUUUCAGGUCUCCACAAACCUUUUUAGAUUUCACUGGAUAUGCUCAUUCCAGUGGAAUGCAGUCAUUUAAAAAUUGUAUUGGUAUUUCCACUAAAAAGAUCCAAAUUAUCUUUGCCUUUUUUUUUUUUUUUUUUUUUGAGACAGGGUCUCUUGCUCUGUCGCCCAGGCUGGAGUGCAGUGGCGUGACCUCGGCUCACUGCAAGCUCCGCCUCCCGGGUUCACGCCAUUCUACUGUCGCAGCCUCCUGAGUAGCUGGGACUACAGGCACUCGCCACCACGCCUGGCUAAUUUUUUUGUAUUUUUGGUAGAGAUGAGGUUUCACCGUGUUAGCCAGGAUGGUCUCGAUCUCCUGAUCUUGUGAUCCGCCCAUCUCGGCCUCCCAAAGUGCUGGGAUUACAGGCGGGAGCCACCGUGCCCCGCCUUUUUUUUUUUUUUUUAAGAUGGAGUCUCACUCCAUCUCAGCCUCCCAGGCUGGAGUGCAGUGGUGUGAUCUUGACUCCCUGCAACCUCCGGUUCCCAGGCUCAAUUGAUCCUCCUGCCUCAGCCUCUCGAGUAUCUGGGACCACAGGCGUACGCCACCAAGCCUGGCUAAUUUUUGUAUUUUCUGUAGAGAUGGGGUUUCACUGCAUUGCCCAGGCUGGUCUCCAGCUCCUGGGCUCAAGUGAUCACUUGCCUCAGCCUCUCAAAAUGCUGGGAUUACAGGCGUGAGCCACUGUGCCCGGCCUAUCUUUGCCUUUUUCCAUCACUGACUACCCCAGGGCCUUCAUAGAACUAUCACUUGCCACGAUGACUUUCCUGCCACCUAUGUAACAGUCUGCCAAACUCCUCAGAGCCACAUCUGCUUAGCGUGGUCUCGCAAUUCUAGUCUUACUACAACCUGUCACACCCAUCAACUGAGAUCUCCUUCCUUUAUUCCUUUCAGAAGGAAUCUCAGAACACACUACUCCCCAGUGAAAAACCAAAAAUCCACCCUUGGUCUUGGGGCCCUGGAAGACCCAGAAGCUUCUUAGGGGGAGAGGGCUAGAAUGACAAAAGUGCCUCUAAGCCCCUCACCAGUGUUAUCAGAGUGGUGAGGACGGGAACCAACAAGGUUCGCAGUCCUUGCCACCAGCCAGGUCUCCUGGCAGAGCCCGUGAGCAAGGUGCAGGGCACAGGGACAACAUGGGAUGCAGCCCGGGCUCCAUUUCCCACUGGCCCUCCAUGAAGGGAGUGGCACCCACUUGAAGAGGGAAAUAGACUCAAGCAGAGACCAGGCGCAUGUGCAGCUGUUCUGACGGGAGAGAGCUGGCCACAGGAGCAAUGAGGCGCCAAGACGGCCAGUGGUAUCUCAGCCCCAGGAUAGAAAGCUGAACUUACAGCUGAGUGUGAAGACGCCUAUUUAUUCCACGGGACCUACCAAAGUGGAUAUUCCUGUCUGUAACCUAGCAGACACUUCCAGAGAGUUCUCCAGCAAAUUUUCUGCCAGUGUGAUGCUAACAGUGGAAGCAGAGACACAUUCUGCCUAGAGAGACGUGCUUUUCCCUCUCAAGUAAAAAGGCAACCAGAGGUUUUGAGACAUCACUUUCACCCAACUACUGACCAAGGAUGCCAAUUAAAAACAAAUCAUGGCUGGGCGCAGUGGCUCACACCUGUAAUCUCAGCACUUUGGGGGGCCGAGGUGGGCAGAUCACCUGAGGUCAGGAGUUCAAGACCACCCUGACCAACAUGGUAAAACUCCGUCUCUGCUAAAAAUACAAAAAUUAGCCGGGCGUGGUGGCGGGCGCCUGUAAUCCCAGCUACUCAGGAGGCUGAGGCAGAGAAUCACUUGACCCCAGGAGGUGGAGGUUGCAGUGAGCCGAGAUCGCGCCACUGCACUCCAGGCUGGGCGACAGAGCGAGACUCUGUCUCAAAAAAAACAAAAAACAAAAACAAAAAAACUCAAAUCCUUUCCAUUGUCCUUGCCACAGAAGCGUUCCCAUUUUUACUGAACAGAAAUCCAUAUAGUCUCACACAUAUUUUUUUUCUUGGAAAAUCUUAGUAUAUUGAAUACAGCCCCUCAUCUUGAGGCCUCUGGUGAGGAUAUAAUGGGACACUUAACAUGCCUAUACCUGAGGCCCUCUCCCGAGAGCCAACACAGGCAUUUGAUUUCGUGUCUGGCACAAACUGUGAGCCCACCAUAAUCUCUAAAUAGCUGGCUCCACAAGUCACCCUAGGGAACCCCAGGGCUUCUCUCUUCCUCCCAGUCCUCACUCUCCUCCCAUGAUUCCAUGGAGUAACUAUCAACAAGCAGGUUAGCUGGAGGGAGUCAGGAAGAGGAGGAAUAAGCUGUUUCCACUAGCACUGUUGGCUAAAACAACUCCCAGCAGCUCCCUCUGCCAAAAAAAUAGGGGUGGGUAAGGGAGUCCCUUGAGGGAGGCAGGAACCUAAAUUUCUCUCCUAAAGCCAAGUAAGGGGUUGACCAGGGUAGAGCUGCCUCAGACACAGGGCACAGCUAAGAAAGAGACAUCAUCUUCACCCAACUACUGACAGAGGAUGCCAGUUAAAACCAAAUCCUUUCCAUAGCCCUUGCCACAGAAGCAUUCCCAUUUUUGUAAAGCAGAAAUUAAUACAGUCUCACAAAUAUUUUUUCUCAUAAGCUCUUAGUACCCUGGAUACAGGCCCUUGCCAAUUAGGAAUGGGAGCCUUGCUCACAGCCCCACGCGAGCGCCUCCCAGGUGUGUGCGUGCCCAGCAAGCUUGGACGGGGUGAAGCAUUGGCAGGGAGGACAGUGCUGGCACGGAGUGAACACGAACUUUCAUACCAAGUCUAGAGAACAUACAUGAGUUUAGAAAAUAAACAAACCAGACAGACAGAUUUACAUUUGGCAAAAUGAUGUGAAACACAAAUGGACAGAUGGAAGCCAGGCCAGGAGCGGGAAGGCAGGGAGUGAAGCAGCCCCUGGGCCCCAGCAGCUCCAGUCCAGGCCUAACUGGCAGGAGGCUGGCCCCGUGGUCAACGCUCCCUCCUCCACGCUCAGGCAGGAAGGGGGUCUUCCCUGGGCCUGCGCAGGAGAAGCAGGGGAACUGAUACUGCCUCUUUUGGUCUCACUGAAAAUGAAGAGGCCUGGGCAGUGUCUUUAGAACAAACUAAAUAGAAAAUGACUCAAGAAAGCCCUUUGAAGGGCUGGAGAAAGUAUCUCUAGAGAAUUCCAGCUUCCCCUGCCACAAGCUUGUGUGGGGCCAGAGUGUGCUUGGACUGUGUCUUGCACAGGCUGAUGGAGAGUGGCAACCACAGAGGUCGUGUGGCUCCAACGCCUCCAGCCACGUCGCUGAGCGAGUAAAGCACUGGACCCGUGAUGUGGCUGUUCUGAAGCUGAAGUGAGUCUUCGUUCAGGGAAUGUUUAAGAGGAUUCAAACAACACGAUGUGAAGGACAAUUUCUGUCGUGAAACCCGGAGGGGACAUUUGACUCAGUCCGCUUGGGCAAGAUGUGGAUUUUAGAAAAGCAGUUUUUGGAGCCCUUGAACGGGCACACUAACUAAAAAGGCACUCGGUGCUUAAAGUGUGAUUAACAUGAUCCUGUGUAAGGCAUUACCUAGAUUUGGUUUAGCAUCAUGAGGAGGAAUAAGGGGCACUCUGACAACCUGAUCACCUGUGAAGUUACAGCUCCAGGGAGCAUAGAGGAGCCCUAACUCGACCUCUCCGUUGGGAUCCAAAUCCAGUAGUAUGUACAAUGCAACUGGUAACCCAAAGCUCACUGGAUCACAGAGCCAUUCCCUAGCCUCUGAAACGCUGGCUUUCACAUUCCUCUCUGAUCCUAGCUGAAACACAUUUCUUCUGAGGAGCUACAGCUUCACUUUUAAAGGGCGCAGGCAAUCCUUCCAAGACCUUCGUAGAGAGGUGGUGUCUGUCUGCUCAAACUUCCUGUUGAUGAAAACAAGACUGGGCCACCUGACAUGGUACCUGCAAGGCCGUGAUGUGGGGUGGAGAGUGGUUAGGCCAAAUCGUUAAGUUUUGCUUCUUUCUUCCUAUCCUAAUACUCUCACUCAGAGCAAGGCUGGCUCAUUGCAAAAAGCUCAAGGACUCUCCCAGGCCUUCUUACUUCCUUCAGCAACUGGUCUCCAGCACUAGCACACCCCAGGCCUUCUUGGCAGGAACUGCAGGGCAGGAGAUGGGUGUACCAGGGUGAGAGCAGGGGUAAGAGCACAGGGAUCGUCUCCCACCAAGUUCAUGUUCAGCAGACUGACACUCACCAGUGAAACAGAGAGAAGAAAACAAAUCCAUUCCACGGGCUAGGGAAUGUCGGUGAAACAACCUGGCCACACCGCACUUCUUAGAAGCAAAUAUUCUAUGGGAGAAACAAUCACAAGGGGUAACUCUAGAGCCUCAAGCACUGAAGUCAUCAACUGAGUUGGUGACACUCCAAACCCCCUUGGGCUGGGGUGCAAGAGCUGACGGACGCAGCCUUGGCGGCCACCUUCUCCUUCAAGCUCCUUGGCCAGGUGGGAGCCGUCAGGUCCACAUGCACACCUCCAACACUUCCCAAGCGAUGGCCAGCGCUAAAGCAGAAGCAAUAGGAUGACAUCUGCUGGUGCGUCUGUAUCCAGGCCGGGCAUACGUGUGCUCUGGAGGUGCCCCUGAGGGAGGGGCCUCAGAGCAGCAGGGGGAAGAGUCUGGCUCCUGGAACACAUAGUGUUCCCUGCUUGGGGGAGACUUUCCUGCCCUCCUUCUUCCUCCUACGUCCUUGCUCUGUGGGCCAUUCCUUCUCUUCUAGCCUUACUGGAAACAACAUUCUUCCAACUGAAGAUGUAACUGAGGCCUGAAUUAUGGUAAAGGAAGAUUAUUACAACAGCCUUUAAAAUACUUGCCUAAGCUGAGCUCCUGAAGAAACUUGGACCUGUCUCCUUGACCACGCCUUUAGUACGUCUGCCGGCCCGAGAGUCCUCUUUUACAGUAAUGUUGACCAUAUUCCUAACUAAAGCAAGACCUGACCAGCUGCCAAAUAGUCCUCCCCCUCCCCCCAGUGGAAGAAAUGGCUACUGCUAUUCAACACUGAGAAUGCCAGAACAGCUCUGUGGGGCUCCACUGAAAACCUGCAGCAGGGAGGCUGAUGAUGGGAGCUGCUUAGAGAGCUUCCGAAUCUACUUCAGGUAAAUAUGGACCUGUAUGUAUCUCCUGCAGCACCCGCACCUGACAUCCAUGGCUCUGAGGCCCAGAAAGAGCUGAGGAGGUCAUAGAGAUCAUCAAUGCUCUGCUUGCUUUGAUGUACCAUUAAGAAGACGAUCUUUCCUCUAACAGCCCCAUACAACUGAGCAGCGCCACCACGUCAUACCGGUACCCUUUUCUUUACCCCUUAAAGAAUACCCAGGAAAGAAAGAUAACUAAAGGAAGUAAAGGACCAGAUCUUUUACCACCUUCCUGCGUGGGUGAUCCAUCCUCUUCCUCUAUAACAUCAUUUCCCUAGGACAGAAGGAAGGCCCUGUGAGUCUAUGAAGCGGCAAAAUGAGUAAACUGAUUGGCUGAAGACAGAACUAAUCAUCCUACUGGUAUCUAACUCCAGGGCCUACGUUAAUAGCAUAUAUUUCCAUCUGUGUUUAAUAUGCCUCAGAGGCUGAGUAGAGGCAGAUCUUGCUUGGAGAGGCACCAUCUGCCUACAGGGAUUAGAUCCGAGCCACAUUACCCAUAUAUGCUCAGAAUGGUCUGUCAGGAACACCCUUGUUAAUAGUUUAGCUGAUACUGUUUCUCUAAGGUGGAAGUAAAAAUUACUAAAUGAAAGAGCAAAUUGUGAGAUCAUAAGACUUUCAGAAAUCCCUUAAGAUCCCAAACCCCAUCCAGAUCCUCCAUUGACAGGAGUUGGCUCAAGAAGAGUUCUAGGGCUCUCACUGUGAGCUGGCGUUCCACAGCACACCAUGGUCAGGGCACGUCUCACACUGAACUGUGGUCCUGUCUGCCUGCUAGACUGGGCUCCUAGAUGGGUGCAGUGGGCUGGGGGUAGGCAGAAACCUCACCACACAGGUCUGUAUAGGUCUAUAUGUGCCCUAGCACCAGUAGAGCACCUGUGACACAGUCCUCCAUGUAAAUACUAGUGGAAUGAAGGACAAUAUAUUCUCAAGGCCAGGGGCUGGCCAGAAAAGUUCCCUCUUGAACUCACUCCACACCAGUGACCCUGGGAACCAGUGGCCCCACUCACUGGACAGUCCACAGGCCCGGGAGCAGCUGCUCUCAUCUCUACCCACAUUCCACUUCUCACUGAUCUAGGCAUGUCCCCUAGGAAGGCUUCGUCAGCGCAGCCUCCUGGCCCUGGUCCUUACUGGCAUCCCCAGCCAAGGCCAGCACUCCUCUGGUUGUGGGAAGGGGGCACCACUCCGUGCUGUUGGGGUUACCUCUGCAUCCUGCUCUCCAGCUGGGAGGCCAGCAAAGUUGCUGUCUGGAGACUCCGCUGGCAGCCCCUGCAGAAGAGCACAGUUUUUACAGGCUCUUCCAUAAAGGUCUCGUGACAGCAAACCCAAACCUUCUUCAGAACAAAAUUGGUGUCAAAUAGGAGGGUCAGACCUAAGGGAAUGCCUUGUUUUCUGCAGCACUCCUGGCAUUUUGGGGGCUUUGCAGCCAUGCAUGGCAGACCUUUGGUUAUGCUACUUUGGACAUGUGCACAAAGAACAGAGAAGCCAGGGCGGUUCCCGUCCCUUCCCUUACCUCUCCUUCUUCUGAGGGGGCCCUGCUGGCAGGCUGGGGGGAAGAGAGAGCCUCUCCCUCCUCUUCAGUGCCAGGGGCGAUGUAGGAGCCAGACAUGGAGGAGACGGUGUCAGUGCUGAUCUGGGAGGAUGCCAUGGACAUGACAGACUGGGCCAAGCUGCUGCUGGCAGGGCCUUUGGAGACAGGGGAUGGGGAAAGGAGCCUGGAGGUCAGGCAGGGCUUCUGCAAGCUUUCUGGGGAGCAGAGCCCUCUCCCUGCAUUCAGGCAUUGAGGAGUGAAGUGGCCGUAUCUUGCCCUCCCCUAAAAGUGGUUUUAGGUUUAUGGUUUUCCAAAAUUCUGCUCCUUUAUAUUUUAGAGCUCAGAACUCAGCCUUGGGGACAAGACAUUUGCUUUUCCCUGUCAUAAUGCUAAAGGAAACCUCAUUACAGGAGGACUGGGGCUGAGAGAAUUAACACCCCACUAGCUACAGGCAAGCCUGCUAUCCCAUGGUAGGAAAGCAAGUCCUCUUCCCUCUCAAGCCAGGGCCUACUUGUCAUGCAGUACAGGUAUUAGCUUGCCACUCCCAUGUCCCUUCCCGGAAGAAGCACCAGGACACUGUGGGCUGGGUAAGGGGGAAGGACAUGCAGCCACUCCCCGCUCCUUAUGUACCUUCUGGGGAGGAAAUAGUGGAUGACAGAGGCGUCCCUGUGCAAGACGACUGGUCAAUAGCUCCAGAUGACGACAAGGUGAGAUUCUCACUUUCUGGAGUCACACCACAUUCCUGGGGGUUGUGGGGGGACACAACAGGACAUGGAGCAAGCGCCAGUCACCUGUGCUGGAGGAAGGGGUCAGGGCGGAGGUCUGGGUAGAGAUGAGGAGGAAAGGCGACACUGGGAGGGACUGAGUGGCAUGCAGAGGCCGCAGCUUCUCUCUUCCGUCCUCACUUCAGCCCAAGCCUGGAAUGACUGCCUCCCAGGGGAGGCGCACACUUCAGUCAACACCUCCUGCCCAGGGCACAGCAUCUGCUGCGGCCAUACAAAGACUGCAGCUCGGGUGACACAGGUCACCCUGCAGCUGUGACAUGGGGACACCCCAGGUUUCCCCAGGAUUAUGAUCAGCUUUCCUUCUGCGGCAAAAGCAUACAAAGCCAGCAGAGGACUUCCUGCCUGCAGGGUAUCUCCACGUGGACCCCAGUUAAUUCCUGCCCAGCUGCUUUCUGAUACAAACACCACCUUGCUCCCCAGCCUGCUGCUCCUCCCACACCCCCACCUCCGAUCCCAGCCCCGACCUGUCAGGCAUCUGGGUGCACAGCCUCACCCGUCCAAGAUGGAUGCAAAGUUCUACGAACUGUAUCUCCAUAAUCCCUUCCCUUCCCUCCAGGCGCUCCUCUUUUGUCUUAGUUCACGCAGUCCUUCUUUUUUUUUUCACUUUUUUUUUUUGAGAUGGAGUCUCGCUCUGUUGCCCAGCCCAGGCUGGAGUGCAGUGGUGCGGUCUUGGCUCACUGCAACCCCUGCCUCCUGGGUUCAAGCGAUUCUCCUGCCUCAGCCUCCCGAGUAGCUGGGACUACAGGUGCAUGCCACCACACCUGGCUAAUUUUUUGUAUUUUUAGUAGAGACGGGGUUUCACCAUGUUAGCCAGGAUGGUCUCGAUCUCCUGACCUCGUGAUCCGCCCGCCUCGGCCUCCCAAAGUGCCGGGAUUCCAGGCGUGAGCCUCCGCGCCCGGCCAGUCACACAGUCCUUCUUGCCUGGGCUACUGAAACCCUCUCCUGGCUGGGUCUGUCUCCCGUCUAGUCCAGGCUGCACACUGCGGUCGGGUGGGCCUUUGGGGUGUGAAGCACUCACUGUGCCCCUGGCUUGCUCCGAGCCCCGACUUCCUGCUCUGUGCCUUUGCAUGCAUCGUCUUCUCCACAUGGAUGUUUCUCUCACCUCUUUCUCCAUGUCUAAAAAACUUCCAGGUUUAGCUAAAAUGCUAUUCCUCCAUAACACAUUUUCUGAUUUCCUCCACUUACAAUGAUCUUUUCCAUCUCUGACACAGCAAUUUAUCGUCUCUGUUUUGGGCAUACUUCUUUUUUAUAAAAUUUACUUAGUCAUUGAACAAAUACUUACUGAGCAACAACAACGUGCCAGGCACAUGCUAUUCCCAUGUAUAUGUCCUGUCCCAGCCAGACCUGAGCACCUAAGGGCAGGGACCACUUUAUUUACCUUCCUGUGCCCUGCUGUAUCUAGCUCAGUGCCCUACAGAGAGAAGCUGCAUAAACCUUUGUUAAGUGAGGUCUCUGUGGGACGCACAGAGUAGAAAAUUCCAGCCUUCUCUUCCAUUCUUCCACAUGGGCCUCCCGACACCCCCCACUUACCCCCAGGACUUUCUCCUUGCUGUUCCCAGACCUAGGGCCCUCUCUCCUCGUAUAUCUGCAUAGCUAGCUCUACCACUUCCCUUGGUCUUGGCUCCUGGACCGCUUUUUAAGAAUGGCAGCCCCCACUUCCAGCCGUGACACUCCCUUCCCACAUGUCACACAUGCUGAUCCACAGCACCAUCAGGCACACAUGUAUUUUUUUACCUAUUGUCUUUUGUGCCCCCCACCCCAGAUAGCAAGAAUAUAAAUGCUACAAGGGCAGGGACUUUUGUAGUGUCCCAGCUACUAUCCUCAGCAUAUAGCACAGUGCCUGGCAAAUAAUACAGGCUGCAUACACUGUUGAAUGCAUGAAUCCAGUGAAACCUUUGCCACUGCCUCAGAGGGUGCUGACAAGGUGUUUGAUGAGUGAAUGAGAGCAGAGGGACCUGAUGAGGCAUGCAGGUAGGAGGGAAGUCCCUGGAGUACAACACCCAAGAAGAGGAGAGGAAUGUCAAUUACCUCUCCGAGAUGCUGAACCGACGGUCUCUGAGAGAGCUGUGUCUCCGACUCGCUGCAGGAAUGCUCAUCUUCCUCUUCAUGCAGCACGGAAGAGUUUUGGGAAGUGGAUCUGUAGGAGUCCAGUGGAAAAGCAGCUAUA